rnacentral:siRNA from 1 species
AUUGAAUGAUCCGGUGAAGU